AGAAGAAAUUCAGGGUAUGGAUGUCCUGAAGGAUAUGGAAAUACAUAACCGCUAGGUGACUGUAUAUUGAUCACAAAAGAAGAGAAUCCUAAAUUUAAGUGAGUGUCCUCUAAAUAUGGAACUCUACUAAUCAAAGAAAAAGAUGUCCAAGUGAUCUUAUCCAAUGAAACACAGCAUGGAAAUGCACACUACAAUUAAUCCCCAAAAGAAGGAGGCUUGAAAGUACUAAUAUUU